UCUGCCAAGGAUGUUUUCAUUAAUCAAGAACGAAAGUUAGGGGAUCGAAGACGAUCAGAUACCGUCCGUAGUCUUAACCAUAAACGAUGCCGACCAGCGAUUAGGAGACGUUGAAUACAAAACACCAUUCAUUUAGCAUGGUCGUUUUCAAAUUAUUCCUUUUUGCGAAGGUUGUUUGGGAACGAUUCGUCCUGAUGAAUCUGGUGAAUGACUCCCCUAGCAGCUUGUGAGA
rnacentral:rRNA from 1 species